rnacentral:rRNA from 1 species
UGCAGUCGAGGGGUAUAGGAGAGCUUGCUUUCCUAGAGACCGGCGCACGGGUGCGUAACGCGUAUGCAACCUACCUUAAUCAGGGGGAUAGCCCGAAGAAAUUCGGAUUAACACCGCAUAAAAACACAGGAUAGCAUUAUCCAAUGUUCAAAUAUUUAUAGGAUUAAGAUGGGCAUGCGUGUCAUUAGCUAGUUGGCGGGGUAAUGGCCCACCAAGGCGACGAUGACUAGGGGAUCUGAGAGGAUGACCCCCCACACUGGUACUGAGACACGGACCAGACUCCUACGGGAGGCAGCAGUAAGGAAUAUUGGUCAAUGGAGGCAACUCUGAACCAGCCAUGCCGCGUGCAGGAUGACUGCCCUAUGGGUUGUAAACUGCUUUUAUCCGGGAAUAAACCUGAUUACGAGUAAUCAGCUGAAUGUACCGGAAGAAUAAGGAUCGGCUAACUCCGUGCCAGCAGCCGCGGUAAUACGGAGGAUCCAAGCGUUAUCCGGAUUUAUUGGGUUUAAAGGGUGCGUAGGCGGCCUGUUAAGUCAGGGGUGAAAGACGGUAGCUCAACUAUCGCAGUGCCUUUGAUACUGAUGGGCUUGAAUGAACUAGAGGUAGGCGGAAUGAGACAAGUAGCGGUGAAAUGCAUAGAUAUGUCUCAGAACACCGAUUGCGAAGGCAGCUUACUAUGGUUUUAUUGACGCUGAUGCACGAAAGCGUGGGGAUCAAACAGGAUUAGAUACCCUGGUAGUCCACGCCCUAAACGAUGAACACUCGCUGUUGGCGAUACACAGUCAGCGGCUAAGCGAAAGCGUUAAGUGUUCCACCUGGGGAGUACGCUCGCAAGAGUGAAACUCAAAGGAAUUGACGGGGGCCCGCACAAGCGGAGGAGCAUGUGGUUUAAUUCGAUGAUACGCGAGGAACCUUACCCGGGCUUGAAAGUUAGUGAAUAUAGAGU